CUCCCAAAGUGCUGGGAUUACAGACGUGAGCCAACGUGCCCGGCCUACUUUUCACCAUGGAAUUGGAAAAGAAACAUUUGGGAAUCAGCUGGAAAAAUGACAACUAGCCCAAUGGGGAAAACCCACAGGGACUCAGCAGAAAAGUUCUCCUCACUCGACCCAGGAAGUCCAGCUGGCUUCAUCUCUCAAAGCCACAGGCUCCUCCAGGCUGGGGAGAGGAAACAGAAGAACGCAUAGGCUGCUGUGCAAGAGGAUGCCAAGCCCUCACAUUUCCUGGGAGAUGCCAGUGGGGACUGAUUCUAGCUCCCAAGGGUGAAUCAGGAGAAGCACACCCCGGUGUGCAUGGGAGCAGAGCGGGAGAUGACCUCAACCAGACCCCUCUCCCAACAGCUGAAUGCUGCCUGCACGUCACUCAGAACAUCGACAUGCGCUGGGAGAGAAGGAGUCAGCACUGGAUUGGCUGCAUUUCACGUGAAAUGACUGUCUGGGGAGUCAUUGCAUUAACUUUUUUGCCUCUGAGCAGAAUGGAGGCUUGAGGUAGAAAUGAAAUGCAGUUAAAGUGAAAAUGUGGCCUUUUUGCACAUUUGCGUUUUGUGCCCUGUGACACUAACCUGCUCUGUGUGUAAAACCCACAACGUAGUGGCUGGCAGGGAGAAAAUGUCUUGUCUGGAGAGGUGGCCGCUAAGGCUGUUCUUCAUUCCCUUUUCUACUCUAAAAUUGGUUCUUGUCCCACAGCUUCCAGGCUGAGCACUCAAGAUACAGUAGCCAGGUCUUUAGGGAGAGGAGAUGGUGCUGGGAACAUACUUCUAUUGUUUGUGGCAUAAAGCUGGAAAGCCCGGUGAGAUGCAGUUGUCCACACCCUUGAAGCUUGGAGACCUGAGCACCCUCCUGCCCUGUGCUUUGUAUCCAUCACCUUGAAAAACACUUUAACCACUGACAUUGCAAAAGUAUCAUGUGUUUGAUCUCACACUCCCGAGUGAAAAAGUGAUUCCUGCCUGUCUACUUUCUGAACACAGAAGGAGACAUUAAGGAGUGGUGUCUCCCUUCAGGACAUGGUGUGGACAACGCUGGUAGGAGGUGACCUCCAGAGGCCGAGUGACAAGAACACUGAUGCAGAAGCUAGCUCUGGUCCUGUCUGCCACCGCCUGGAGGGGUGGCCCUAGGUAAACCCUGACUUCCUCUGGAGCUUGAUUUGCUCAUCUGCCACACCAGUGGCUUCGACUGAUGGCCUCCCAAGGUCACUUCUGUUUUUAACAUUUGGGUCAUUUAUGGCCACAGAGACCCAGGGAAAGGGAGGCAAAAGCAGAAGAGGAAACAGAAAUGAGAGAGGAGAGAAGGGAAAGGAGAAACUGAAGAGAGAACAAGAAAGAGGAAAAACAGGAGAAGACAGAAGAAAAGCCAGUGCUGUAUUUGUUGAGAAUAAAGGACCUGCCUUGACUUUCUAAAUCCUUAAUGGAGGUUUAUUAAAUGCCAGAACCACGGCAGAGUGAAGAGGCCUAAGCAAUGCAUCUCAAAAUAGAAGGUUCGGUAUUUAUUUGGAAGACAGUAAUUUCAUUUCCAGGGAGAAUUUUCAGUAAAAAGGUUUACAUGGGCCAUUAAAUUCUUAUCUUUCAAUGUAUCUGCCUUAAAGCUGUAAAAAUAAUAACAAUGUCUUGUAUUUCCCAUGAGCCAGCACUUUCAAAGGACAUACAGUACCUAACUCAGUCCUCACAACAACAUUGUGAAGUAAACACCGCUGAAAUCCUGUGUAUGUGUAUGCACACUGACUCAGUGAGGUUGUCAUUUGUCCAGCGAGGAACACCAAGAUUCAAACCGAGCUCAGUUAUAUUCAAAGCCUGAGAGUCCCAGGGCUUUCCACUGUGUGAGCAAAUCAUAGGUUAAUUUAGACAGUUCCUUUGACAUGGACGCUUGAGUGGUUUCCAAGUUUUUAGUAUCACAAACAAGGCUGCAGUGAAUAAUCUUGUCAUGUGUCAGUUCAUACUUGUCAGAUAUAAUCCCUUGAGUGGGGUUGCUGUGUCAGAGGGAGGACCCUUGAAAUUUUGAUGAUGAUUGCCCUUAAUAGGGAAUGCCCCAUUUUGCAAUCUCACUGAGAACAGACACUGGUGCCUGCCUUUUGAGUGCCUAGCCAACAGAGGGUUUGGUCAAACUUUUGGAAUUUUAUCCACCUGAUUAAGGAAAAGUCAUCUCCUAGUGUAGUUUUGAUUUUUCAUGUCUCUAAUUAUGAAUGCUUGCAAGGAUUUCAGGUCAUCUGCAUUUCCUGUUCUGUAAACUUCCCAUGACUUUUGCCCACUUUUAAAAAUUAAUCUGUGGUCAUUCUAUCUUUCAUUUCUGGGAGCGCUUCGUGUGUUUUGGAGAAAAGUACUUUUCUGCGUCAUGAGCUACACACAUUUCCC
rnacentral:lncRNA from 10 species